UCGAGCCUUUAUGAUGAACCAUUUCGGAUGUAAAUUUCAUUUUUUACUGAAUUGCGCAAAACAACACCAUGUUGAUAUUUCCGUUGCCUUCCUUCUGAUCUACACU
rnacentral:snoRNA from 1 species